UUAGCGGCGGACGGGUGAGUAACACGUGGAUAACCUACCUAUAAGACUGGGAUAACUUCGGGAAACCGGAGCUAAUACCGGAUAAUAUUUUGAACCGCAUGGUUCAAAAGUAAAAGACGGUCUUGCUGUCACUUAUAGAUGGAUCCGCGCUGCAUUAGCUAGUUGGUAAGGUAACGGCUUACCAAGGCAACGAUGCAUAGCCGACCUGAGAGGGUAAUCGGCCACACUGGAACUGAGACACGGUCCAG
rnacentral:rRNA from 1 species